CUGCAAGCUCCGCCUCCCGGGUUCACGCCAUUCUCCUGCCUCCGGCUUCCAAGUAGCUGGGAAUACAGGCGCCCGCCACCACGCCCGGCUAAUAUUUUUGUAUUUUUAGUAUAGACAGGGUUUCACCGUGUUAGCCAGGAUGGUCUUGAUCUCCUGACCUCGUGAUCCGCCCGCCUCGGCCUCCGAAAGCGCUGGGAUUACAGGCGUGAGCCACCGCGCCCGGCCAUUGCUUUCUUGCAGCAACUGGGGAUUGUUGCAGGAAUUCUGUCAUUACAGCCCCAGGAAAAUGGAAGAAGAGGAAAAUGAAAAAAGACAAAAGGGAUAUGAUGCUGGGCAAAAUCCCACCAAAAUCAGACGUAGGAAGGAAUCCAGCCCUUUUGCCCAGUAGAAUUAUGGGGGAAAAGGAGAAGCAAAUGGCGAGACACUUGAAUUCCAAGCUCUCCUCUUGAAGUGGAAGCCGUAGAGAAAGGAGGCAUGUUAGGUUGAAGAAAGAUGGUGAGGUUCCCAGAGACUAGCCACUUCAGGAAGCUCUUCUUACCCUUCGGGAUAAAGGGAGCAGAGAAGGAAAAAGCAGAGUCCAUGGAAUCAUGGGGACACACAGCAAUGCCAGAGACUUCUUGCCAAAGCAAGGAGCGAGCAGGGAAGAAAAGCUCCCACCUCUCACCUUCCAAACCUCAGGCUCCUGCUGGUGUCUCCCAUUAACCAAAACCACAGACACCAACCAGCAAGAAAGCCAGGGACCUAGAGUCAGUAGGGGUAAAUAGAGCCUUUCAGGACACGGAGAAGGGCAGGCAAAGGCACAGAUGGGUGUAGCCAGGGGCAGCAAGGGGAGAAUAACCAGGCACCUCCUUCCAUUCCAGCAUGAGGGCCUGGAAGCCCCUCUUUCUUGCACAUGCACAUGCCAUGCUGGGGAGCGGCAAUGGGAGUUCCGAAAUACUGAACAUUUAUCUAGAGACUGAGUCACUUAAAGCAACUGCUGAAAUUAUUGAAACAGACUGUUUUCUAAUCUAGACUAAAAUAUACUAUAUUUUUCUCUCUAUCCAUCAGUCCAUUGUAAUGAAAAUUUAAUCAAUUACUUAAAGCAAUAAAAGAAACUACAUUUUUAUUGUACAACUUACUGAAGUGUGAGGAAAUGGGUGGAUCCUUCCCACUUUGUAUCCUCUCUACCGUUCUCUACUUCCAAGGUAACUGAGGUGACUUAACAAUGAAACAAGUCAGAAAUGUCCUGAUAGAGACCAAAGGAAGACAAUAUUUCAGACUCCUCUGGAGAGGAAAGCAUCUUCUGGCUCAAUUAGCAUGCUAAAGAAUGGGUUUGGUUUCGUGCUCCAUUAAAGUCAACUAAAUAGAUGCGCUGCAUGUCUUUAUUUCAAAAAUAAAGCUGAACAAUUAAAUCCCGUGUCUCUUUGCUCAGUUUUUGAUCCCACACAAAGCUUUCCCACUUGCUGCCUUUGGAUGUAAUGUUAACAAAGUCAGUUAACAUCAAGCACUGCAGUAACAGGCAUGGCAGAAUUCCUUGUUUUUGCUCAAUCAGUCUGUGUUCAAACUAUCAGUUUGAUUUAUUUGUCCACAUUGACCCUUAUUCACCACUUAAUUAUCCUCGUAUAAUGUUUCAAGAGGCUCCUGACACAAGGAGAAAGACAAUCGCCGAUGUUCUGUAAAACAACGGUUGACCUGAUGGGCCCAGAUGAAGACCGUGGGUCGGAGUUUGUUUGCUUUUGGAAGAACCCACUUCUCCUGUCCGAGAGCUGCAUCCAGAGCCACUCGCUGUGGGUGCCACAGGCUGGCCGGUCAAGCUGUUCGUCAGGUUCUCAAACUGUGAGCUGACCAUCACCACGGGAUAGUCAUGGCGUUUUGCUCUAUUGGCCUCUCCAAAUCCCCCGGUAUGUUGGGUGUAUUAGAGUUCAGAAAAAAACAAAACCCAUGCACCCACUAACACACAAACACACACACACACACACACACACACACACUGAACCUCAAUUUCAGCAAUGUCUUUAUUAGUAUAUGGUUACUGCUGUGAUUAGAAAUACAUUUUCUCACUUUGUGUAUGAACAGGAAAGGUUUUCGAAUCACAGGUAUGAAAUGAGAAAUAAUAUUUAAACAUUGAACUGCUUCAUAUUGUAGUUGAUCUCUAAGCUCCUGCUCAUAAACCAGAUGAAUUAUAAUUUUAUUGGAAAAUAAACCAAUGUCUUUUAUACCUAGCCAGAAAUACUAUUUAUUGUAAUAGGUUUCAUGUGAAAUUAAGACAAUUAUUUUAGAACUGUUGAAAUCUGACAACUAUUCUAUAUUCAUAGCCCUUAACAUUCAAAUAUAAAUUACUGAUAGUUAAAAACAGAUAAUAAACAUCAACAUUUCUAGAAAAACAGCCCAUAUAAAUAUAAAAUCAUAAUUUUAUAUUUUGAAGUGAUUUUCUAUAAAAAUUUUAAAUCUUUUAUGGCAAGUUGAGCCCAUAUUUCAUUUGGCUACACCUUAGUAUGCAUAAAUGGUUUUUGCAACACCCUACUAACCUUGGUUUGUCAUUUUAAUUUUUUACACAUUUUCCUCUCCUGUUUAGUACAUUUUCCAUCUUAUUAAAUUUUACUCUGCACAGUUACCAAUGCAAAUGACAGCCUAAUUGUUUUUCAUACAUUAAAAAUGUUCAUCAAUGUCGUUUGAACCUAAAAUUAGAAAAUCAUACUCUAACAUAGCCUCCAUGUGUUGGUGACGUUUAUUCUUUUGUGUCUUAGCCUUUCUCUGUGAUGGACAUAUGAUCACAAAUGUUGCUGCACAGAAACAAUAACACAAGAAUUAGAUAAAUGACAGAUGACAAUUUCAAAAUGAAAAAUAUCAAAUAUUUCUAAAAGCUACUUGGUAGGAUUUUUUUUACUGCUGUAACUGUAACCAAAACUCUGAGAAGCAUUUUUGGAAGCCCCAGUUACCAGUAUGAAAGCCACCAGAAUAGAGUCUUGUACAUGCCACAACCCCGAACUCUCAUUCCGUCAUCCUGGGGAGGUCUGAGAUCCCAGCAGAGAUGGUCUGGUGGCCAGUGACCUUCUAUUUGAUUUGGUGCAGAGGGACUGAGCAUCUGGAGGCCAACCACGUGGCCUGGGCGUCCCACUCAAACUUGCUAGCUGCAAUUUCCUCAUCAUCGAGGACUUUCUAUCUUCUGAGGUUGGAUACAGAGUCCCCAGGAGUCCCGGUAGUGUUCAAGAUGACACAAGUCUGAGAGGACAUGAGCUGAGCCAGGCACACCAGUGACCUGCAGGCCUGCACACCCAGCUUUGACCAGGGUGGAUCCACUUUUUUCAGUUCUUUUCCAUAUCAGAUUUUUUUUUCCAGAAUGAAGUGUCCUGUGGCCUUUAAAGAGUUUUGUUUUGUUUUGUUUUGUUUUGUUUUAAGACCUGAAUAUAGAGGCCUUCCAGCUCUGGGAUUAUGUAACUCUAGGAAUAAAAUCAUAGUUCUUACAGCUGAAAGAAUACAAUAAGACAAAGUAGAAUAGGCAAAAAACCUGAGGUGGAAAAUCUGGCCUCCGUGUUGUCCCUUAAACAGGCUCACCGUCCUUCCAAUGGGUUCAAUUAUUUGCUACUGAAGAAAUCAUUCCGUAUGUUCCCCUGUCUGCAAACACACGGGCCUGAGAUCCCCUAAGUAAGAACACCAGUGGCAAGAUGAAGACACAAUCAGGGACUUGUUCCAACAUGGACUCCUGCUCUAAGAAAGCCCACAAAGCUGCUCUCUCUGUUCUGGCCUUGCUGUCUAAUACCAAGGAAUUUUCAUGACAUGUUCCAAUAGAAAUGACCAAAAUAAAAAUCUCUCUGAGAAAAAUGCCGCCCUCUUCUAAAAAUUAUUGUUGUUGUUGCUUUAUCUCAUUUUUCUGCUCAAUGUUUCUUUCUACCUGAAAACAAAUUUUUUAAUCUGAAAAAAUAAUUUGCUUUCAACUCUUUUUGCUACCUCCACCUGUUUCCUCCCAAAUCAGGUCUGUGUCAAAAG
rnacentral:lncRNA from 1 species